rnacentral:misc_RNA from 1 species
AUCAGAGCCUCUGUUAAAUCUCUUAAUAAAUUAGCUAAAGCUCUAAUUAAUCGAAAUAAGCAGCUGAAAUCAAAGUAACUAGUGAUACUGGAGCACUAAAUAUCUAAAAAUAUGCUCUUGCCCUCUUGUGCGCACUCAUGGUAGCCUGCUCCAGUCCUUUAUGAAACAUUCGUUAUUGGGUUAGCCAUAGCCAUACUCUUCACAUGUUUCUAGUGAUUCACAAUGACAAUCAAAAUUCAGAACUCCGUUAUCAUGGUAUAAGCCCAAAGAAAAAGAGGGAAAUUUAAGGAGCACUGCUAAACAUAAUCAUUAGCAGUGAUGACAUUUGUAUUUGUAUGCAUGCUCAAUGAAUUUGAAAAUUUUCAUACAAUAAUAGUACUUUUUUUUUAUAUAUAGUAGUAAUUAUCAAAGGAGAAAAUUUCAAAGCUGCACUUAAUACUGGUUCUGUGUAGGCCUUGCCAUGCAAAUCCGUUAAUUUCAAUCAUUUCAUUCUGAAUUCAAA